UGACUCCCCGUGUCUGUUCCCAUUGGUUC
rnacentral:piRNA from 1 species